GGAUUAGAUACCCUGGUAGUCCACGCUGUAAACGAUGAUUACUCGCUAUUGGCGAUAUACUGUCAGUGGCUAAGCGAAAGUGAUAAGUAAUCCACCUGGGGAGUACGAUCGCAAGGUUGAAACUCAAAGGAAUUGACGGGGGCCCGCACAAGCGGUGGAGCAUGUGGUUUAAUUCGAUGAUACGCGAGGAACCUUACCAGGGUUUAAAUGUAGAAUGACCGGGGUGGAAACACCCCUUUCUUCGGACAGACUACAAGGUGCUGCAUGGUUGUCGUCAGCUCGUGCCG
rnacentral:rRNA from 1 species